UUAAACGGCGGCCUUAGCGUGAGGCGUCUUAAGGUAGCAUGAUAAGUCGGCCUUUAAUUGGGGUCUGGUAUGAAUGGGUUGACGUUGGAUAAGCUGUCUCAUAAAGUAUUAUUGAAAUUAAUUUUAAGGUGAAGAAGCCUUAAUUAUGAAAAAAGACGACAAGACCCUACGAAGCUUUAUCUUAAUUAAUGUGCGGUCAUAUAUGCGUCAACUAUAUGUUUGCAUUUUGUAUGAUUUUGUUGGGAUAACAAGGUGGGAAUGUGCUGCCUAAUCAAGUCUAACUUACAAGUUUUAGCUUAAUAUAGUAAAUAUGGCAAGCUACUCUAGGGAUAACAGCGCGAUCUUUUUUUAGAGUUCUAAUCGAAAAAAAGGUUUGCGACCUCGAUGUUGGCUUUAGGUUACCUGAAGGCGUAGAAGCUUUCACGAGUGGGUCUGUUCGACCUUUAAUUCCUAACGUGAUCUGAUUUUCAGACCGG
rnacentral:rRNA from 1 species